GAUGAACGCUGGCGGCGUGCCUAAUACAUGCAAGUCGAGCGAACGGACGAGAAGCUUGCUUCUCUGAUGUUAGCGGCGGACGGGUGAGUAACACGUGGAUAACCUACCUAUAAGACUGGGAUAACUUCGGGAAACCGGAGCUAAUACCGGAUAAUAUUUUGAACCGCAUGGUUCAACAGUGAAAGACGGUCUUGCUGUCACUUAUAGAUGGAUCCGCGCUGCAUUAGCUAGUUGGUAAGGUAACGGCUUACCAAGGCAACGAUGCAUAGCCGACCUGAGAGGGUGAUCGGCCACACUGGAACUGAGACACGGUCCAGACUCCUACGGGAGGCAGCAGUAGGGAAUCUUCCGCAAUGGGCGAAAGCCUGACGGAGCAACGCCGCGUGAGUGAUGAAGGUCUUCGGAUCGUAAAACUCUGUUAUUAGGGAAGAACAUAUGUGUAAGUAACUGUGCACAUCUUGACGGUACCUAAACAGAAAGCCACGGCUAACUACGUG
rnacentral:rRNA from 1 species